rnacentral:rRNA from 1 species
UGAGGAAUAUUGGUCAAUGGGCGAGAGCCUGAACCAGCCAAGUAGCGUGCAGGAUGACGGCCCUAUGGGUUGUAAACUGCUUUUGUAUGGGGAUAAAGUCAAUCACGUGUGAUUGUUUGCAGGUACCAUACGAAUAAGGACCGGCUAAUUCCGUGCCAGCAGCCGCGGUAAUACGGAAGGUCCGGGCGUUAUCCGGAUUUAUUGGGUUUAAAGGGAGCGUAGGCUGGAGAUUAAGUGUGUUGUGAAAUGUAGACGCUCAACGUCUGACUUGCAGCGCAUACUGGUUUCCUUGAGUACGCACAACGUUGGCGGAAUUCGUCGUGUAGCGGUGAAAUGCUUAGAUAUGACGAAGAACUCCGAUUGCGAAGGCAGCUGACGGGAGCGCAACUGACGCUGAAGCUCGAAGGUGCGGGUAUCGAACAGGAUUAGAUACCCUGGUAGUCCGCACAGUAAACGAUGGAUGCCCGCUGUUGGUACUUGGUAUCAGCGGCUAAGCGAAAGCAUUAAGCAUCCCACCUGGGGAGUACGCCGGCAACGGUG